rnacentral:rRNA from 1 species
GACAGAGGGUGCAAACGUUGUUCGGAAUUACUGGGCGUAAAGCGCGUGUCGGCGGCUAAGUAAGUCGGGCGUGGAAUCCCACGGCUCAACCGUGGAAGUGCACUCGAAACUGCAUAGCUAGAGUCCUGGAGAGGAAGGUGGAAUGCUUGGUGUAGAGGUGAAAUUCGUAGAUAUCAAGCGGAACACCGGUGGCGAAGGCGGCCUUCUGGACAGUGACUGACGCUGAGACGCGAAAGCGUGGGGAGCAAACAGG